AGUACUGUGAACUCAUUGUCAUGCUCAAGAAACCAGUUUGAGAUGAUUUUAGCUUUGUGACAUGGUGCAUCAUCCUGCUGGAAGUAGCUGUCAGAAGAUGGAUACACUGUGGUUGGAAAGGGAUGGACAUGGUCAGCAACAAUACUCAGCCAAUCACUGAAGGAAUGAAUGUCCAGCAGCAUCAGCAGCCUGUCUGGCCUCUAGCCCUCACUGAGUCUACACAUCGGGGAAUGCUGGGAAAUGGAUCCACUUUCUGCCAGUGUAGAGCCAUGAAAUAGUAAUCCACAUCUCUUUGCUGACAGUGACUCUCUGCUCUGUGUGUGUGUGUGUCCAUGUUUGUGUUAACAUGUAUGCAGGACGAUGAAAAGUAAAUUGCUAGGUGUGUGUGUGUGUGAGAGAGAGAGGGAGAGGGAGAGGGAGAGAGGGAGAGGGGGAGAGGGCAUGGUUAGAUGUGGUUAAAUUGCAGUAAUAUGUAACAUUGUUUUAGCCGGCUAUCAGGUUAUUUAUAUGAAGUUUGAAGGAUUCCAGAAACGACUUCAGAUUGUCUUUUCCUUUAUUCUGUGGAGGUGCAGUGGUGGGGGCGGACUGUCUGUCUGUCCACGCUGUGUGCUUGUGUCUAAACACUCACGCACUCAUGCUGAUUCAAAGCUAAUGUUGGAGUGGAGCUGCAGAUAUCGUCCACACAUUGAACAACAUGAAACUAGCACCAUCAUUCACAAGUGAUUCUGGGAUGUGCUCACAAGUAUUGUUCUGUUUUUUUCUCCAGACCAGUCAGAUUUCCAUCACUGAAAUGUGUGUUCAGUUGCAGGCAGAGGAGGAGUUAGAUGGGAAAGGAUGAAAUGUUGCAUCAGGGAGUGGAGGUUUCAUAAGUUGAGGACCAGUGAGACCACAAAUGACAUGAUAACUAGAUUUAUAGCUUCUUAAAACUUCUGCUAAUGGCAUUGUGGAGCUAUAAUGGCAACUGGAGAUGGGAAUCAAGUGUCAGAAUGACCGCAAGCUUGUUCUUUUGCUCCAUCAGUGCGCCUGCAAUGCACUUUCAUGGUCAGUGUUGUCAAUGGCGAAACAAGGGGCACAGUAAAACUUUGUGCAAAUUAAAGGCCUUAAAUGGCCAAUCAGUCAUUUUUAUAACCACAUUAAUUAUGGAUAUUCAAAUAUCUAGUUAAGGAAUUUGAAUUAAAAAUGAAACGUGUAGUUUUUGUUAUAAAUAAACUUGCAUUUAGUCAUUAUCUUGUGUCAGUCAGUGUAGUAGCAGGUUCCAGUCCUGUGUUUGGAAUUUUUGGAUGGUGGAAAGGGCUAAACUUUGGUUUACAUUUGGAUCACAGAUGGUGCCUUUAAAUACAUGAUGUUUCUGAAAUAAUAAAUUAAAAGAAAUCUGAGUUUGUUUUGUUGCUGCACUAGGUCAGUUUUUACAUUUACAUCAUCGGUGCUUUUAGCAAUAUAUAAAGAAAUGAAAGAAAAUUAAGAGAAAAAUCAAGAAAGCACUGGUCAGAGAUAAAGUGGUCUCGCUGGUAAUUCAGUAAUGAUCAUGUAAGAGACAAGUAGCAGCAAAGGAAAUAGGAGGAAUGAGAGCUGCGCUUUUAGAUAAGCAGAAAUGUAUCUUUAUAGAUAUUAUGUAUCUAUGUACAAAUACUUGCUCAUCAAAUGUAUUAAAAUAAAAUUCAAAAUACUGCUAUGAAAAAAUGUAUUCAAUUAAGUAAGUGUAAUUUGAAAUUAUAAAAAUACAUUCUAUACAAACAGAUAUGA